AUUGAACGCUGGCGGCAGGCCUAACACAUGCAAGUCGAGCGGAUGAAGGGAGCUUGCUCCUGGAUUCAGCGGCGGACGGGUGAGUAAUGCCUAGGAAUCUGCCUGGUAGUGGGGGAUAACGUCCGGAAACGGGCGCUAAUACCGCAUACGUCCUGAGGGAGAAAGUGGGGGAUCUUCGGACCUCACGCUAUCAGAUGAGGCUAGGUCGGGUUGGCUAGGUGGUGGGGUAAAGGCCUACUAAGGCGACGAUCCGUAACUGGUCUGAUGGGAUGAUCCGUCGCACGGGAACGGAGACACGGUCCUGAGUCCUACGGGAGGCAGCAGUGGGGAAUAUUGGACAAUGGUCGAAAACCUGAUCCAGCCAUGCCGCGUGUGUGAAGAAGGUCUUCGGAUUGUAAAGCACUUUAAGUUGGGAGGAAGGGCAGUAAGUUAAUACCUUGCUGUUUUGACGUUACCAACAGAAUAAGCACCGGCUAACUACGUG
rnacentral:rRNA from 1 species